rnacentral:ncRNA from 1 species
AUAGUUUGAUUCUAGCUAACAUGUUAUUUUUCUUUAUACAAGUACAUGAAACAAUUAAGCUCCCUAUUGCCAAAUAAAUCUAAAAGAUAAGCAACAUUUUUACAUAUAAAAAUGAAAUGCCUCAGUACAUAAUUCUAUAUUAAUCAGCUAAUGAGUAAUGGUAAUAAAGAGAAUAGGCCGGCCAAAUUCGUGCCAGCCGCCGCGGUUAGACGAUAGGCCAAAAAUAACAUUUAAAGGCUGUAUGUUAUAGUUAAAGAUAAACUAAAAAAUUUUAAGAGGUUCAAUUCAUACCAUCUUAGUCACACAGUUACCUUUUUAUAAACACGUAAAACCAUAAAUUAAAACAAGGAUUAGAUACCCUUCUAUUUAUGGCAUAUUCAAAGCCGGAUAAUACGAACAAUAGUUUAAAAUCCAAAGAACUUGGCGGUAUCUUAUAAAAUCAGGGGAACCUGUCACUUAAUUCGAUAAUCCACGAACAUCUCCACCUUUUUUUGAAUAACAGCCUGUGUACUGCUGUCGUCAGUAAACCUUUAAAAGAAAGUUUACAAUAAUAUAAAUACAAUAUUUACGUCAAGUCAAAGUGCAGCUAAUAUAAAGGAGUAGAUGGGUUACAAUCUAAAAAUAGACUACGGAUGCACAUAUAACUUGCUGCUGAAGGUGGACUUGAUAGUAAUGAAGUAUAAUCAUGAAAAUUAAUCUAAGAUAUGCACACAUCGCCCGUCACUCUCGUCUAAAGAUGAGAAAAGUCGUAACAUAGUAGACAUAACGGAAGUUGUGUCUGU